rnacentral:rRNA from 1 species
AUGCUCCGGCUCCGGUGCUGCCUCCUCACCCAGCUCCUCUCAUCUCCCUCCGCGUCUCCCGCCUCCCAGCUCCACCACCUCUUCUCCGCGGCCGUCUGCCCCAAUCCUGCCUUCGCCGUCGACGACUACCUCGUCUCCACCUGCGGCCUCACCCGACCACAGGCCCUCAAGGCCUCCGCCAAGCUCUCCCACCUCAAGUCCACCGCCAACCCCGACGCCGUGCUCGUCUUCCUCGCCGGCCUCGGCCUCUCCGGCGCCGACGUCGCCGGCGCCGUAGCCAAGGACCCGCAGCUCCUCUGCGCCGGCGUGGAGAGGACCCUGGCCCCCGUCGUCGCCGGGCUCACCGGCCUUGGCCUCUCGCGUUCUGAGGUCGCACGCCUCGUCUCGCUUUGCCCCGACAAAUUCCGUCGUAGAUCCAUCGUCUCCACGCUUGAGUACUGCUUGCCCCUCUUCGGCUCCUCCGAGAACCUCUUUCGAGCCCUCAAGAGUGGCUCCGUUCUCUCCUCCGACCUCGAGCGGGUGGUCAAGCCCAAUGUCACCUUCCUGCGGGAGUGCGGGCUAGGUGCUUGUGACAUUGCCAAGCUAUACGUACUUAGGCCAUCGACCCUCGGCAUCAGCACGGAACGCAUCCGGACAGCAGUGGCGUGCAUCGAAGGUCUUGGUGUACCCCGUGGAUCUCCGAUGUUCAGACAUGCACUACAAGCUGUUGCAUUCCUCAGCGAGGAGAAAAUCACCGCCAAAGUGGAGCACUUGAAGAAAGCGUUCAGGUGGUCGGAUGUCGAGGUGGGCAUUGCUUUUUCUAAGUCUCCAACGUUGCUAAUGAGGGCUAAGGAAUCACUGCAGCACAGGUCCGAGUUCCUCAUCUCUGAGGUGGGGUUGGAACCGGCAUACAUUGCUUAUCGUCCGGCAAUGCUCACUUACAGCUUGGAGGGCCGGAUCAGACCCCGGUACUAUGUCGUAAAGUUUCUCAAGGAAAAUGGAUUGCUCAAGCGUGACCCGAGCUACUAUACUGUUUUCAAGGAGUCCGACAUGACAUUCAAGAAGAAGUUCAUACACCCUCAUAAGGAAGCUGCACCGCACCUUGAAAAAGACUACGAUGCUGCUUGCAAAGGGGAAGUGCCCACUAAUUUCAGAUUCACAUAA